GUGGGGAAUUUUGGACAAUGGGCGCAAGCCUGAUCCAGCAAUGCCGCGUGCAGGAAGAAGGCCUUCGGGUUGUAAACUGCUUUUGUACGGAACGAAACGGUCCUGGCUAAUAUCCGGGGCUAAUGACGGUACCGUAAGAAUAAGCACCGGCUAACUACGUGCCAGCAGCCGCGGUAAUACGUAGGGUGCGAGCGUUAAUCGUAAUUACUGGGCGUAAAGCGUGCGCAGGCGGUGCUGUAAGACAGGCGUGAAAUCCCCGGGCUCAACCUGGGAAUUGCGCUUGUGACUGCAGUGCUGGAGUGCGGCAGAGGGGGAUGGAAUUCCGCGUGUAGCAGUGAAAUGCGUAGAUAUGCGGAGGAACACCGAUGGCGAAGGCAAUCCCCUGGGCCUGCACUGACGCUCAUGCACGAAAGCGUGGGGAGCAAACAGGAUUAGAAACCCGAGUAGUCC
rnacentral:rRNA from 1 species